UGGGGACGACGUCAAGUCAUCAUGGCCCUCAUGUCCAGGGCGACACACGUGCUACAAUGGCCGGCACAACGGGAAGCGACGGCGCGAGUCGUAGCGGAUCCCUCAAAGCCGGUCCCAGUUCGGAUUGCAGUCUGCAACUCGACUGCAUGAAGCCGGAAUCGCUAGUAAUCGUGGAUCAGCCAAGCCGCGGUGAAUACGUUCCCGGGCCUU
rnacentral:rRNA from 1 species